AUGCUGUAAAUGUGUUGAUUUUGCAGUACCUGAAUUGACCUACCAUGUGGGGAGGUCUUCAAAGCCGCAAAAGAGCUGAAGUCACGAAAAGACCCGAAGUUGAAGUCCUGAAGCCUUGAAAGGACCCAAAGCCAGGAAAGGAAGCGGCUGGGAGGAUUAUCUGCAAAGCUUCUGGAUAAUUUUUGGAGCAGCUGGAUUAUCUUCAAAACAAUUGGGAGGAUUAUCUUCAGAGAUGCAGGGAGGAUUAUUUUCCGAGCGGAUGGGAAAAAUUGUAUUCAGAAGGACUAAGAUGAUUCUCUGCAGAGCGUCUGGGAGGAGUGGUUGGAUUAUCUUCAGAAUGGUUGGAUUAUCUUCAGAGCGGCUAGGAGCAUUACUUUAAGAACAGCUGGAUUACCUUCAGAGCAGCUGGAUUAUCUUCAAUGGAUUAUCUGCAGAAAGAGCGCCACUGCCAACAUGCUGUUUUGACUGCAGAGGAAUAUGCAAAUAAGAAGCUGAAGAAAAGAGAAGGAUAUAGCAGAAGGGAUAGAAGAGAGAUCAGAAGACAGAGGAAGACGUUUGCCUGGGACACUCUCAUGGUAAGUAUUAUGGCUUUGGUCGGUACAGAACAUGUUUGUAUUUAGUCCAGCAUUGCUGUGGGAGAUAUUGGGGGGUUGAUAUUGUGGGUUAUUUUUAGCAUAGAUCCCAGUUUUUUAGGU